GCCCAGAUGGCGGAAUCGGUAGACGCGCUGGUCUCAAACACCAGUGGGGCGACCCGUGCCGGUUCGACCCCGGCUCUGGGUA
rnacentral:tRNA from 2 species